GCUGUCUCUAAUGUGCUGGAGAACUCCGGACAGGCCGGUACCUUUAGUAAUCUUGUGCAUCGAGGUGGAACUUCGGUUCAAUGCUAACAUAGCAAGACUCGAGAGCGAACUCAAUGAUGUGGUAGACGUUUUCUCUGAAAAGAAAGAACGGGUCUGCACACUGGUGAGAGAGAGUGAGA
rnacentral:lncRNA from 1 species